rnacentral:rRNA from 1 species
CACGUAGGGUGCAAGCGUUGUCCGGAAUUAUUGGGCGUAAAGAGCUCGUAGGCGGCUUGUCGCGUCGACUGUGAAAACCUAGGGCUCAACCCUGGGCCUGCAGUCGAUACGGGCAGGCUUGAGUGUGGUAGGGGAGACUGGGAACACCUGGUGUAGCGGUGGAAUGCGUAGAGAUCCGGAAGAACACCGGUGGCGAAGGCGGCCUGCUGGGCAGUAGCUGACGCUGAGGCGCGACAGCGUGGGGAGCAAACAGG